UACGUAGGGGGCAAGCGUUGUCCGGAUUUAUUGGGCGUAAAGAGCGUGUAGGCGGCCAGACAGGUCCGUUGUGAAAACUCGAGGCUUAACCUCGAGAUGUCAUCGGAAACCAUUUGGCUAGAGUCCGGAAGAGGAGAGUGGAAUUCCUGGUGUAGCGGUGAAAUGCGCAGAUAUCAGGAAGAACACCAAUGGCGAAAGCAGCUCUCUGGGACGGUACUGACGCUGAGACGCGAAAGCGUGGGGAGCAAACAGG
rnacentral:rRNA from 1 species